GACGAACGCUGGCGGCGUGCUUAACACAUGCAAGUCGAACGGUAAGGCCCUUCGGGGUACACGAGUGGCGAACGGGUGAGUAACACGUGGGUGAUCUGCCCUGCACUUCGGGAUAAGCCUGGGAAACUGGGUCUAAUACCGGAUAGGACCCUGGGAUGCAUGUCCUGGGGUGGAAAGCUUUUGCGGUGUGGGAUGGGCCCGCGGCCUAUCAGCUUGUGGUGGGGUGAUGGCCUACCAAGGCGACGACGGGUAGCCGGCCUGAGAGGGUGACCGGCCACACUGGGACUGAGAUACGGCCCAGACUCCUACGGGAGGCAGCAGUGGGGAAUAUUGCACAAUGGGCGCAAGCCUGAUGCAGCCAUGCCGCGUGAGGGAUGACGGCCUUCGGGUUGUAAACCUCUUUCAGCAUCGACGAAGCGCAAGUGACGGUAGGUGCAGAAGAAGGACCGGCCAACUACGUGCCAGCCGCCGCAGUAA
rnacentral:rRNA from 1 species